UUGCCCUAGUAACGGCGAGUGAAGCGGCAACAGCUCAAAUUUGAAAUCUGGCCCUCGGGUCCGAGUUGUAAUUUGUAGAGGAUGCUUUUGGCGCGGUGCCUUCCGAGUUCCCUGGAACGGGACGCCUUAGAGGGUGAGAGCCCCGUACGGUUGGACACCAAGCCUCUGUAAAGCUCCUUCGACGAGUCGAGUAGUUUGGGAAUGCUGCUCUAAAUGGGAGGUAAAUUUCUUCUAAAGCUAAAUAUUGGCCAGAGACCGAUAGCGCACAAGUAGAGUGAUCGAAAGAUGAAAAGCACUUUGAAAAGAGGGUUAAAUAGCACGUGAAAUUGUUGAAAGGGAAGCGUUUGCGACCAGACCUUUUCCUGGCGGAUCAUCCGGUGUUCUCACCGGUGCACUUCGCCAGGUUGAGGCCAGCAUCGGUUUUCGCAGGGGGAUAAAAGCCCGGGGAACGUAGCUCCUCCGGGAGUGUUAUAGCCCCUCGCAUAAUACCCUUGCGGGGACCGAGGACCGCGCUUUUUGGCAAGGAUGCUGGCNUAAUGGUCGUCAACGACCCGU
rnacentral:rRNA from 1 species